rnacentral:rRNA from 1 species
CUCAGCGUCAGUUACAGACCAGAGAGUCGCCUUCGCCACUGGUGUUCCUCCACAUAUCUACGCAUUUCACCGCUACACGUGGAAUUCCACUCUCCUCUUCUGCACUCCAGUCUUCCAGUUUCCAAAGUUAGUGGCGGACGGGUGAGUAACACGUGGGCAACCUGCCUGUAAGUUGGGGAUAACUCCGGGAAACCGGGGCUAAUACCGAAUGAUAAAGUGUGGCGCAUGCCACGCUUUUGAAAGAUGGUUUCGGCUAUCGCUUACAGAUGGGCCCGCGGUGCAUUAGCUAGUUGGUAGGGUAAUGGCCUACCAAGGCAACGAUGCAUAGCCGACCUGAGAGGGUGAUCGGCCACACUGGGACUGAGACACGGCCCAGACUCCUACGGGAGGCAGCAGUAGGGAAUCUUCCGCAAUGGACGAAAGUCUGACGGAGCAACGCCGCGUGUAUGAAGAAGGUUUUCGGAUCGUAAAGUACUGUUGUUAGAGAAGAACAAGGAUAAGAGUAACUGCUUGUCCCUUGACGGUAUCUAACCAGAAAGCCACGGCUAACUACGUGCCAGCAGCCGCGGUAAUACGUAGGUGGCAAGCGUUGUCCGGAUUUAUUGGGCGUAAAGCGCGCGCAGGCGGUCUUUUAAGUCUGAUGUGAAAGCCCCCGGCUUAACCGGGGAGGGUCAUUGGAAACUGGAAGACUGGAGUGCAGAAGAGGAGAGUGGAAUUCCACGUGUAGCGGUGAAAUGCGUAGAUAUGUGGAGGAACACCAGUGGCGAAGGCGACUCUCUGGUCUGUAACUGACGCUGAG